rnacentral:rRNA from 1 species
AUUGAACGCUGGCGGAAUGCUUUACACAUGCAAGUCGAACGGCAGCACGGACUUCGGUCUGGUGGCGAGUGGCGAACGGGUGAGUAAUACAUCGGAACGUGCCCAGUCGUGGGGGAUAACGUAGCGAAAGCUACGCUAAUACCGCAUACGAUCUACGGAUGAAAGCGGGGGAUCGCAAGACCUCGCGCGAUUGGAGCGGCCGAUGGCAGAUUAGGUAGUUGGGGGGGUAAAGGCUCACCAAGCUGACGAUCUGUAGCUGGUCUGAGAGGACGACCAGCCACACUGGGACUGAGACACGGCCCAGACUCCUACGGGAGGCAGCAGUGGGGAAUUUUGGACAAUGGGCGCAAGCCUGAUCCAGCCAUUCCGCGUGCAGGAUGAAGGCCCUCGGGUUGUAAACUGCUUUUGUACGGAACGAAAAGGCUCUGGUUAAUACCCGGGGCUCAUGACGGUACCGUAAGAAUAAGCACCGGCUAACUACGUGCCAGCCGCCGCCGUAAGAC